CCAUAUUUCUGAAAUUGAACUCAGUUUGUGAGAUCUCUUAAACGAAUCUGAUUUGUGAGAUGGGUUUAAGCUGUUCAAUUUCUUAUUUUUUCAGAUUUAGGUUUUAAUUGAAUCUGAUUUGUGGAAUCUCUUUAACUCAUCUCACAAAUCAAAACCCAUCCUUAUGAAAUCAAUCUCAAUCUUCGAUAACCCGAAUUUUGUUUCAAACUCUAUGUUUUGUAGAUUACAAUUCUGAUUCCUAGGGACUUGAAAGGUCGGGUAAUCGCACUCUAUAUGUUGUAUGUUGUCUGUUUCUCUUGUAUCCGUUCCUCGCAAAGAGAGACAAUUGAUCAUAUCAUCAAUAGUAAAAUCAAACUACAUGUCUGCUGGUUAGACAUCUAAAGUAUGUUCCGAUUGUUUUUAGAGGCUUCAUACGGCGUAAGCGGCUUCACACUCAACAAUCCC